rnacentral:rRNA from 1 species
CGAGUGGCGGACGGGUGAGUAAUGCAUAGGAAUUUGCCUUGAGGUGGGGGAUAGCCCGGAGAAAUCCGGAUAAUACCGAAUACGCACUAUGGUGGAAGGAGGGGGCUCUUCGGACCUCUCGCUAUCGGGUGAGCCUAUGCCGGAUUAGCUAGUUGGUGGGGUAAUGGCCUACCAAGGCGACGAUCCGUAGCUGGUCUGAGAGGACGAUCAGCCACACUGGGACUGAGACACGGCCCAGACUCCUACGGGAGGCAGCAGUGGGGAAUAUUGGACAAUGGGGGCAACCCUGAUCCAGCAAUACCGCGUGUGUGAAGAAGGCCUGCGGGUUGUAAAGCACUUUCAGUAGGGAAGAAAGGUUGGAUUUUAAUACGAUCCGAUUUGACGUUACCUACAGAAGAAGCACCGGCUAACUCCGUGCCAGCAGCCGCGGUAAUACGGAGGGUGCCAGCGUUAAUCGGAAUUACUGGGCG